rnacentral:rRNA from 1 species
GCUUGCUUGCUUUCGCUGACGAGUGGCGGACGGGUGAGUAAUGUCUGGGAAACUGCCUGAUGGAGGGGGAUAACUACUGGAAACGGUAGCUAAUACCGCAUAACGUCGCAAGACCAAAGAGGGGGACCUUCGGGCCUCUUGCCAUCGGAUGUGCCCAGAUGGGAUUAGCUUGUUGGUGGGGUAACGGCUCACCUAGGCGACGAUCCCUAGCUGGUCUGAGAGGAUGACCAGCCACACUGGAACUGAGACACGGUCCAGACUCCUACGGGAGGCAGCAGUGGGGAAUAUUGCACAAUGGGCGCAAGCCUGAUGCAGCCAUGCCGCGUGUAUGAAGAAGGCCUUCGGGUUGUAAAGUACUUUCAGCGGGGAGGAAGGGAGUAAAGUUAAUACCUUUGCUCAUUGACGUUACCCGCAGAAGAAGCACCGGCUAACUCCGUGCCAGCAGCCGCGGUAAUACGGAGGGUGCAAGCGUUAAUCGGAAUUACUGGGCGUAAAGCGCACGCAGGCGGUUUGUUAAGUCAGAUGUGAAAUCCCCGGGCUCAACCUGGGAACUGCAUCUGAUACUGGCAAGCUUGAGUCUCGUAGAGGGGGGUAGAAUUCCAGGUGUAGCGGUGAAAUGCGUAGAGAUCUGGAGGAAUACCGGUGGCGAAGGCGGCCCCCUGGACGAAGACUGACGCUCAGGUGCGAAAGCGUGGGGGAGCAAACAGGAUUAGAUACCCUGGUAGUCCACGCCGUAAACGAUGUCGACUUGGAGGUUGUGCCCUUGAGGCGUGGCUUCCGGAGCUAACGCGUUAAGUCGA